CAUAACUGAUGGACUGCUGGGGCACUGUUGAAGAAUAUCACAGUCCUGAGAGAAAAAUCACCCAAAUCCACAGGAACAUCGUAACUGCAUUCUCCUGGGCAUUUUCCUAUGAUCACCCAGCCAGAGGGGAGUACAUCUCUAUGACGUCAGGACUUUUAGAGGUAGGUGUGGUCUGUCAGCUGGACUUCCUAGCCCUAGCUCAAUGAUAAAGAAUCUGUGUCUGCAGGAGACAUGAGUUCAAUUCCUGGGUCAGGAAGAUUCCCUGGAGUAGGAAAUGACAGUCUACUAUAGUAUUCUUGCCUGGGAAAUCCCAUGGACAGUGGAGCCUGGCAGGCUAUAGUCCACAGAGUCACAGAAGCAUCGGACAUGACUUAGUGACUAAACAAAACCAAAGCAUCAGACAUGACUUAGUGACUAAACAAAACCAACCAUAUGAACUGUAGGUGAUAGGAGGAUCUUUGCUUUUUGACUCUAGUUGCUUGUGACCUAACUUUUCACUUCCCCCCGGACUCUACCGCCCUUCAGACUUCUAC
rnacentral:lncRNA from 1 species